UACGUAGGUGGCGAGCGUUGUCCGGAUUUAUUGGGCGUAAAGCGCGCGCAGGCGGUCGCGUAAGUCUGCUGUGAAAUCUCCCUGGCUCAACCGGGAGGGGCGGCGGAGACUGCGGGACUGGAGGGACCUAGAGGCCGGUGGAAUUCCCGGUGUAGUGGUGAAAUGCGUAGAGAUCGGGAGGAACACCUGUGGCGAAGGCGGCCCCCUGGGCCGAACCUGGACGCUGAGGCGCGAAGGCUAGGGGAGCGAACGGG
rnacentral:rRNA from 1 species